rnacentral:rRNA from 1 species
UAGCUAGUUGGUGGGGUAAGGGCCUACCAAGGCGACGAUCGGUAGCUGGUCUGAGGGGAUGGCCAGCCACACUGGAACUGAGACACGGUCCAGACUCCUACGGGAGGCAGCAGUGGGGAAUGUUGGACAAUGGGGGCAACCCUGAUCCAGCAAUGCCGCGUGUGUGAAGAAGGCCUGAGGGUUGUAAAGCACUUUCAGUGGGGAGGAGAGUAUUUAGGUUAAGAGCUAGGAUACUGGACGUUACCCACAGAAGAAGCACCGGCUAACUCCGUGCCAGCAGCCGCGGUAAUACGGAGGGUGCGAGCGUUAAUCGGAAUUACUGGGCGUAAAGGGUGCGUAGGUGGUUAUUUAAGUUAUGUGUAAAAUCCCUGGGCUUAACCUGGGCAGGUCAUAUAAAACUGAGUAACUCGAGUGUGGGAGAGGGUAGUGGAAUUUCCGGUGUAGCGGUGAAAUGCGUAGAGAUCGGAAGGAACACCAGUGGCGAAGGCGGCUACCUGGCCCAACACUGACACUGAGGCACGAAAGCGUGGGGAGCAAACAGGAUUAGAUACCCUGGUAGUCCACGCUGUAAACGAUGUCAACUAGCUGUUGGUUAUAUGAAUAUAAUUAGUGGCGC